ncrna:unclassified sequences skipping-rope RNA
UUAAUUUUGAGGAUAGAAAAGUCAGCUAUCACCCUAGUUAGGAGAUACAGGAGUGGCGACCUGUCUUAUUAA